UGGAAUAUUGCUGUGCCAAAGCAUCUCUGGGUAUUGAAUGGGAUGAGAAAAUAAUAGAAAGAGGAAGGAAGAAGGAGAAACAUCAAUGUGAGAGGGAAACAUCAAUUGGUUGCCUCCCAUCUGCACCAGAUCAGGGAUUGAACCCACGACCUAGAAACCUUGAGUUUGGAGAAUAAAUGUUGCAGAUGUGACACCCCAUAAUCCAG